UGCUUUUUGAACUAUAUAAAAAGUAAUCUCCUGCCCAGUGACAUUUUCAACGGCCGCGGUAUCCUAACCGUGCAAAGGUAGCAUAAUAACUUGUCCAUUAAUUGUGGACUAGAAUGAACGGGGUAACGAAAUAAGCGCUGUCUCGAUAAAUCAACACAUAAACUAAUAUUUAAGUGAAGAAGCUUAAAUUCAAAUAAAGGACAAGAAGACCCUAUAGAGCUUUAUUUUAUUUACCUAAAACAGUAACAAAAAUUCGGUUGGGGCGACCUAGGAAAAAUCAUCCUAUAUAAAUAUGAUACAUUUAUCUAUUAAAUGAUCCCUUUUAGGAUCAACAAAUCAAGCUACCUUAGGGAUAACAGGCUAAUCCUAUUAGAGAGCUCUUAUCAACAAUAGGGAUUGGCACCUCGAUGUUGGCUUAGAAUAUCUCUAUGGCGCAAAAGUCAUAUAAAGAAGGUUUGUUCAACCUAUAAUAUUC
rnacentral:rRNA from 1 species